GUUCGGAUUGUAGUCUGNAACCCGACUACAUGAAGCUGGAAUCGCUAGUAAUCGCGAAUCAGAAUGUCGCGGUGAAUACGUUCCCGGGUCUUGUACACACCGCCCGUCACACCAUGGGAGUCGGAAAUGCCCGAAGUCAGUGACCCAACCGUAAGGAGGGAGCUGCCGAAGGUGGAGCCGGUAACUGGGGUGAAGUCGUAACAAGGUAAC
rnacentral:rRNA from 1 species